GAUGAACGCUGGCGGCGUGCCUAAUACAUGCAAGUCGAGCGAACAGACGAGGAGCUUGCUCCUCUGACGUUAGCGGCGGACGGGUGAGUAACACGUGGAUAACCUACCUAUAAGACUGGGAUAACUUCGGGAAACCGGAGCUAAUACCGGAUAAUAUAUUGAACCGCAGGGUUCAAUAGUGAAAGACGGUUUUGCUGUCACUUAUAGAUGGAUCCGCGCCGCAUUAGCUAGUUGGUAAGGUAACGGCUUACCAAGGCAACGAUGCGUAGCCGACCUGAGAGGGUGAUCGGCCACACUGGAACUGAGACACGGUCCAGACUCCUACGGGAGGCAGCAGUAGGGAAUCUUCCGCAAUGGGCGAAAGCCUGACGGAGCAACGCCGCGUGAAUGAUGAAGGUCUUCGGAUCGUAAAACUCUGUUAUUAGGGAAGAACAAAUGUGUAAGUAACUAUGCACGUCUUGACGGUACCUAAUCAGAAAGCCACGGCUAACUACGUG
rnacentral:rRNA from 1 species